CCCUUAGAUGUUCUGGGCUGCACGCGCGCUACACUGAAGCUAUCAACACGUUUUCCCUCCCUGAGAAGGGCGGGUAACCUUUUGAAUCAGCUUCGUGGUAGGGAUCGGGGCUUGCAAUUGUUCCCCGUGAACCAGGAAUUCCUAGUAGACGCGAGUCAUAAGCUCGCAUCGAUUAAGUCCCUGCCCUUUGUACACACCGCCCGUCGCUACUACCGAUUGAACGUUUUAGUGAGGCAUUUGGACCGACGCAUCUCAGUUUAACCGCUGGUUUGUGUUGGAAAGACUUUCAAACUUGAGCGUUUAGAGGAAGUAAAAGUCGUAACA
rnacentral:rRNA from 1 species